rnacentral:rRNA from 1 species
CGAGUUUGAUCAUGGCUCAGAUUGAACGCUGGCGGAAUGCUUUACACAUGCAAGUCGAACGGCAGCACGGGGGCAACCCUGGUGGCGAGUGGCGGACGGGUGAGUAAUACAUCGGAACGUGCCCAGUCGUGGGGGAUAACGUAGCGAAAGCUACGCUAAUACCGCAUACGAUCUACGGAUGAAAGCGGGGGAUCGCAAGACCUCGCGCGAUUGGAGCGGCCGAUGGCAGAUUAGGUAGUUGGUGGGGUAAAGGCUCACCAAGCCUUCGAUCUGUAGCUGGUCUGAGAGGACGACCAGCCACACUGGGACUGAGACACGGCCCAGACUCCUACGGGAGGCAGCAGUGGGGAAUUUUGGACAAUGGGCGAAAGCCUGAUCCAGCCAUUCCGCGUGCAGGAUGAAGGCCCUCGGGUUGUAAACUGCUUUUGUACGGAACGAAACGGCCUUUUCUAAUACAGAGGGCUAAUGACGGUACCGUAAGAAUAAGCACCGGCUAACUACGUG